rnacentral:rRNA from 1 species
CGGGUGAGUAAUACAUAAGUAACCUGCCCUAGACAGGGGGAUAACUAUUGGAAACGAUAGCUAAGACCGCAUAGGUACGGACACUGCAUGGUGACCGUAUUAAAAGUGCCUCAAAGCACUGGUAGAGGAUGGACUUAUGGCGCAUUAGCUGGUUGGCGGGGUAACGGCCCACCAAGGCGACGAUGCGUAGCCGACCUGAGAGGGUAACCGGCCACACUGGGACUGAGACACGGCCCAG